UUUUUUUUUUGGUUCCAUUUUAUUGGUGUUUUUGGUUUUGGCGGAUUUUCUUUCUUGACAUGUGAAAUACACAUGCAAUAUCCAUUCAAUUAUUAGAGUUAUGAUUACACUUUUUCAUAAGCCAAUAUAUGUUUACCAAUAAUUAACCAAAUUGACGAAUUUACUAUCUAUUGAAAUAUUCUUAUGUGUAAAAUUUUCUUCAUAAUACAUGCAUGAUCAUUAGUCCCUCGCAUUAAUCUAAUAAAAAAACGUAUAUUCAUAUACAUUUUCAAGGUUAACAAUAUUUUAAUGAUUAAAAAGAAUAAGCAAAUGACUCCCAUUUUUUUCAUAUUAUAGAACCAAAACUCAAUAUGGAACUUAAACAAUGAUAUGCUUCGAUGACUUUUAAGAAGUGUUAUUAAAACAUCUCAAAGUCGGAAAAUAUAUGAGUCUACAUGGAUCAUUUGGAUCAAAAGAAGAGGAGGAGAAUGGAGAAGAAGAAGAAAAAGAAAAGAAAGAAGUAUCACAUUAAUUUUAUUUUUAGAUUGCUGGAAAAGAAGUUAGUGUCAUUGACCACUAAUUAAUUACCAUAAUGACUAAUGAGAUGCUACGUCCGUCCCUCUUUGAUUGAUUUAGCAUGAUUAUGAUGAAUAAGUUGAAAAUAGGAGUUGAAUAAUACUUGUUGAAAAGCAAUCUCGUCUUUAGAGGAUAAAAAUUGUGUUGAGAAGAGUAAAAUUGGGUGUUAUCAUAAACCAAUAUUUUGAUUUUAGUUAAAAAUUUGUCAUAUUAGUUAUAAGAUUGUUUUACUCUCAUCUUUCGGGAAGGAAAGGAUAUUCAUAAUUACGUGUGAAUUGUUGCUCGCUUGAUUAGAGAAAUUAGCAAAACCUUUGGGAGUUAUGUCUCAUCCCCUACCUUUUCAGCAAAAUAUGCGAUAAGUCAUGGGAAAAAAGAAAAGGGGAAAGAAUUGAACUGACACAUGAUUUUACAAAAUGAAACUUAGCGCAAGCAGCACGUUUAAAAGGCAGCAAAUCGGGACAAAAAUUUUAAGCUUGUGACAAGUGAGAACUUUAUAUAGCAUGAAGGAAAGAAGAAAACAGAUGAGAGACAGAAAAAACGAACUUUAUUUAAGGAUAAACUUUAUUAAGGCCCUGAUUGACGACGUUACAUCUGACAUCCAACUCAAAAUUGCCGCUUUCCUGAUUGUGAUGAUGUCUCAGAAAAUUUGCAAAUAAAGGGCACGGAAAACAUUCAAUCACAGUGCUGAAUUCGAGCCACUUUGGCAAACUCCAAUAAUCUAGGAAUCAGAAACCUAGCAGUGUCAAGAAUAUUCAUCUAAAUGAACCAAAAAGACCAGAUGGUGAUUAUUUGCUAAUGUCCACAUGAAGUGAUUUUUUUCCCCUCAAAAAGUUGGAGCUCAGAGAAAAUAGAUCCUCCAGACUGCUCCAUCGCGUUCAUAUGCUGUUAUGUUAAGAUAGAU
rnacentral:lncRNA from 1 species